rnacentral:tRNA from 1 species
UAUGGUAGUCUAAAUUAAAGGCGUUAGAUUGUAGCUCUAAAAAUGAAAAAGAUUUCCCAUGUGG